UCUCAAACACACAAGUGAGUGAGUCUCAAAUUUAUAGCAGGACCAAGUCACUCCUCAUUUCUCUUCAGUGGAUGUAUAAAAGAAACCCCCUUCCUCUCUAUUAACAAACAAGAGAACAGUAGCAAAAACAGAGAAAAAACCAAGACAGACACACAAGAGAAAAGGAGAAAAAAAAUCAAAUCUUGUUAUGGUUUUCAGUUCAAGAAAUUCUAGAAUGAAAGGGAAAGAUCAUGUUCCUCUACAAUAAUAAUGCUUUGUUUGUUGUAGCGAACAAGGGUUUUGAUUCAAGAACACAGCAGGAAAUGAGCUCUCUUUCAAGUGAUUGGAGUUGUGGAUUGGACAGUUUGUUCUUGUCGCAAAUUGAGAUUGCAUAUAGUGGUAUUGUUGAGCAUUGCUUGAUUUUGGGCAUGGAUGAAGAUUGCACGUUUAGGAUUGUUUAGCAGUGAACAAGAAUUGUUUCUUCUGCUGUAUUGGAAGGUAAAGGUUCCUGGGUUUAGCUGUUUUGUGCUUGAUCUUGAACUUGGGAAUGAUUUGUGUGUUACGGUUUGGCUUUAAGGGAAAGGAGGUGAUGGUUCUUUGUUGGAACAGAAAGCAACACAAAAGAUCAGAUUGUAGUGGACAAUUUUUAUUUCUCAAGGAACCUUUUGGUUUGACAUAAUUUGAGUAAAGUUCUUUAUCAAGAAGGAAAACUUCUCAAAGUUAUUGCAACAAGUUUUUGUUGGACUAUUGCAGUAUAGUGUACUAUAAUAGCAGAUUCGAUCGAGUGGAUUAGUUUUGAGUUUUAUUAUUGAAGUUAACAUUUUUUGAAUGAUAAAGUACUGUAUUGAAAUUAAUUUCCAGUGAAUUCUGUCUCACCGGAGUGUGCAUUACGGUGAAAGGGAUUGGUGGGUUUGGAACCUGUGGCUAUUGGAUGUGAUAUAUAAGUUCACGGAGAAGUGCUGAAGCUGGAAAUGAAUGUGGGGACAUGUUGCAUGGACAGGAGCAUGGUUACCGGUCCAUUUCCUUUACAGAACAGUGCUACUGGAAAGUAAUUCAAUCAUUUUCUUCCUUGAAAGGCGUUGUUGUUUUGUGUUUUGGGAUUCUGUUCAAUGUCGCGUUGCUUUCCAUUUCCACCACCAGGAUAUGAAAAGAAGAUCAGGAGUGAUGAUGUUGACCUACUAAAAAAGGUGUGUGCAGAUGGGCAGUGCUUAACUGUGUCUUAAAUAGAGAGUUCAGAUAGUGCUCACACUAUUUUGCUAUUGGUCUUCAAGUUUGUGGGUAAAUCCUUGGUAAAAGUCCUGUUUCUCUGAAUCUUAUAUGAAUGGGAACCGGUUAAUGAUAAUUCUUACAAGCUGAAACAUGUAAUAAAUAUGAGAUAAGAACACACUUUCUGGUGUUGGCUCCAAUUAUAAUGUUUCAUUAGUGUCUGCUUUUUUGUUUGCAUCUGUUAACCCUGGAAAGUGCAAUGAAGUAACUGCCUUAAAUAAAGGAUUCAAGGGAUGGUUGUUAACUAUUCUGUGCUUGGUGUUUGAGUUCAUGAGUAAAUAAUUGGUUUUUAAAUUCCUGUUUUAAUGAAUUCCAUGUGAAAGGGUUGAAUUAAUUGUGUUUAUCUAUAUUUCUACUUGAAAUUAGGAGAGAUGAAGUUUGUUGGACUACAAGUGAAUUUGUGUCAAUUUUUCUGUCCUCUUUUACUGACAAGUGUAAGGAAAAUUUUAUGGUGUUCAAGGAGUAGCUGGUGGCAUCUCGUCUAGGCCAACUUUAAAGAAAGAGAUAGACAUACGGAGGAGAUAGAAAAUAAGCAUAUCUCCACCUAGGCUUUCUCUCUCCUCUUUGUGUCCUCUUUGAAAGUGGGUCCAGAAGAGUUACUAAUAAGAUGCCACUAUUUACUCCCUGAGCACCAUAAAAUUACUCCAAGUGUAAGGCUUAACAAAAGAGAUAGGCUUGCAAAUUUGAAAGGAAAACAACUAUGCAUUUGCUGUUUUAUAUUUUUUUUGGCAUUCCAUCACUUAUGUUUAGGAGAUGAACAGGCUGCUGAGUGCAUCAGGAACUCCAAAUUAAGCAGCUUCUAUUUAUAUUUAUCACAAGUCACUGUUGCUGAGUUGAAAGAUCACAUGUGGAGAUCUGUCUCUUGCAGGCUUGCAGCAACGUAGCUUCUCAGAUUUGUUUAUGCUAGGGAAAUUAUUUUGAUGUAUGAAUGGGCUGAAUUCAGCUUGUUUUUCUUGUAGAUUUUCCCAGGGGAUAGAUGCUGCAAGUCCUUUUUAUAUUUCCUUAACAGUUUUAUUCUGCUCCAUAAAUGGAGUAGCUUAUUUUCCUAUUUUAAAUUGCUUCUUUUUAUAUUUCUUGCUCAUAUUUGGUUCUGGCAGCCAUUUUAUCACAUCAAGUUCUAUGAUCUUCCUAUUUUAGUUUUGAUAUCUGGGGUGCAUAGAGAUUUUUGUAUUUUGAGAAUACCAGUUUUGAAACAUAAGGUUACAAAUAUUGGGGCUAGAUUGCAGAUAAGUGUACUUUGCUCAAAUAUCAGGGAUCAUGUCCAUUGUACUACUAUGACAUCACUCAUGUUCUCCAUGAGCUUCUAUGUUUGGGGUUGUAAUGGUAUAACUUUGUCCGAUGGUUUCAGACUUUUGAGUAUAUGGAAAGAAAUGGAAAGACGCUGCUGUAACUCUAUAUUCAAACUGCUUUCUGGGUGUAGUGGAAAGGACAGAAAUAUCUUUGCCUGGGAGAGUAGGUUUCUAUUUGAGUUGGAUAGGAUGGUUAGAGUUUUUAACUUGUAUCCGUAAAGUUCUCCUUCCUCGCUGCAACAGUGUAGAGGUCUAGGCAGAAGGAAAUGUUUUCUGGAUUAUUUUUGGUAUUUCUGUCCAUAGGGCUCUGGUUAGCUCAUGGGAGUUUCUCAUUUCUUUCUGAUCUCUUUUCUUUUAUGCUUUUUACCAUUUGGAAGUUGGCUGAUAAUUGGUACGUGCCAUA